UCUUCGAAGAAAUUUUCAUCUGUGCAAAAAAAAAACCCUAGACAUCUAACUAAUUGGUUUAUGAUAUCACGAAACGAUCAGUCUUUGAUCUCCAUUCAGUGGAAUUUCGUAUUGGAAAGAAAAAUGGCGUUGACUAAUUUCAUACUUACUGUGGCCGGAGUGAGCGCCGUCGUGCUGCUGCUGCGGAGCGAUGUGAAGCAGUCCGCCACCAUCUUCCGCCGAAACGUCCGCCAAAUCCGCAGCUGGCUCGAGGAGGAAUCCGCCUCCGCCGCUAAGGAAAUAGAGAAGAAGGCAAAACCCAAGGAAAUUUCAGAGAAAGAUAUCCCCAAGAAAGACUAAGCGUUAGGUUCAAUUUACGUCUAGCACAGGAUUGCCUCAGCUCUUUAUGCUCGUCACGUGCUCUUAGUUGUUGAUCCCGGAGUUGGAUUUUCUUGUUACAUAAAUGUCAUGUUCAAAAUCAUGUUUUUAAUUAGUAAGAGUGGCGUGUUCAAAAUGAGUCGAGUUGAUAUGAGCUUCGUCACUUAUCUUGUUGUGUCGGGCGACAGAGGUUCGGUUUUUUGUAAUGUACUUACUACCCCAUAUUAGAUCUGGUGGUGACAGUUAACAGUUGGUGAUAAGCUAAUAUAUGAAACUAUGAGUACAAGAUUUUACUAGUUACUCA